AGAGAGUCUAACACUGGAGCUGGCUAGAAAACCUCAUUCUACUUUUGGUCUAAAGAUUUUACUUAUAUUUAACGGGCCCGUGGAGCUGAACAGCCGUCAUCCUAGAACACACUGCGCUCAGCUGCUGUCUGCAGCUCUUCACGAAAGCUUCUUCCCUCCGCCUCCUGGCUGGCUACAAACACAAAGUGCUGGGCCAUAGAUUCAGCUGGGAGAUGAGAAGAUUGAUCUGUUUCUCCAGACAAAUGUGACAAUAUCUUCUUCAUCACUGGGUG